AUGAACGCUGGCGGCGUGCCUAAUCCCUGCAAGUCGCGCGAACAGACGAGGAGCUUGCUCCUCUGACGUUAGCGGCGGACGGGUGAGUAACACGUGGAUAACCUACCUAUAAGACUGGGAUAACUUCGGGAAACCGGAGCUAAUACCGGAUAAUAUAUUGAACCGCAUGGUUCAAUAGUGAAAGACGGUUUUGCUGUCACUUAUAGAUGGAUCCGCGCUGCAUUAGCUAGUUGGUAAGGUAACGGCUUACCAAGGCAACGAUGCGUAGCCGACCUGAGAGGGUGACCGGCCACACUGGAACUGAGACACGGUCCAGACUCCUACGGGAGGCAGCAGUAGGGAAUCUUCCGCAAUGGGCGAAAGCCUGACGGAGCAACGCCGCGUGAGUGAUGAAGGUCUUCGGAUCGUAAAACUCUGUUAUUAGGGAAGAACAAAUGUGUAAGUAACUAUGCACGUCUUGACGGUACCUAAUCAGAAAGCCACGGCUAACUACGUG
rnacentral:rRNA from 1 species